UACGGAGGGGGCUAGCGUUGCUCGGAAUUACUGGGCGUAAAGCGUACGUAGGCGGCUUUGUAAGUUAGAGGUGAAAGCCCGGGGCUCAACUCCGGAAUUGCCUUUAAGACUGCAUCGCUUGAAUCAUGGAGAGGUGAGUGGAAUUCCGAGUGUAGAGGUGAAAUUCGUAGAUAUUCGGAAGAACACCAGUGGCGAAGGCGACUCACUGGACAUGUAUUGACGCUGAGGUACGAAAGCGUGGGGAGCAAACAGG
rnacentral:rRNA from 1 species